UUGCUGUGAUGAUACACUCAAAUGUGGUUUCGACUGGCUGACGGUUGAAUGAGGACACUCAAUUCCUUGGCUGUGUCUGAGCAA